rnacentral:rRNA from 1 species
UGGAAUCGCUAGUAAUCGCGGAUCAGAAUGCCGCGGUGAAUACGUUCCCGGGUCUUGUACACACCGCCCGUCACACCAUGGGAGUCGGAAAUGCCCGAAGUCUGUGACCCAACCUACGGGAGGGAGCAGCCGAAGGCAGGUCGGAUGACUGGGGUGAAGUCGUAACAAGGUAAC